AGCCGUUUCUCUUUCUGUUUCUAAUAGCUAUGCUCUGCAAAAAUGGUGAACGACUGAAGAAUUAGGCUGAAUGACUGAAUGUUCGCAAACAUAAUUAGGCUGGUAAUCACAAACCCAUAUUGUGAAUUUCAUAUUAUUUUCAGAAACCCUAAUUUAACGAUUUUAGGGAUUUUUUUAUAAACCAAAUUGGGGGAUCAUGAAUUUGAAACUGGAAAGAACAUUGAAGAAGUAGGUACGAGUCUGAUGGAUCUGGUUGUUAAGAAGAAGUUGUUACUGGAUUGGAACGGAAGAUUAGAGACGCAAAAAUGUCAGGAAACGUAAACAGUUUUGAAGAUGUUGAUGGAGGUGGAAAUGGACCAACCUGUUAGCAUCUGUUGCUGCUGUUGUAGCGGCUCUGAAGAUGUUAAUGGUGUGGUAAAGGCCCAAAUGGUUGUGGUGGUUUUAAUUAGAUGUUGCUGCUGCUUUUGAAGUUGUUUUUGGUGGUGGAAAUGGACCAAGUAGCUAGCUAAUGUGGUGGUUUUGAGAAGAUGUUGAUGGAGGUGGCAAUGAAAUAAAUGGUUGUUGUUGGCUGUACUUGUUCAUGGCAUUCUGAACAUGACCCAUCGAUUGCUCCUAAGGUUCACUACUCCAGAUUCAGGGUCUACAUGAUGCCAUAUAUUUUUGGUUAACUGUGGUUAAGCUGCUUGAGUUAGAAUGGAGGGUAUUUUUGAAAAGAUUAACAACGUUUUUUUUCCCGAACCGUCGUGUCGGCCACAAUGUGAUCAUUUUGUAACCAAAUUGUAAAAGUAUGAUCAUUUUGUAACCGAAUUACAUAAAGUAUGACCCUUUUGUAAAUGGCCCAAUUUAAAAUUGUGUAUGGAGGGAUAAGUAGGGAGGACACAUAGGUAAUUUGGUUAACAUAUUUAACUGUGAGUCAUCACUUAACUCUCUUUUUAACGGAAAUAUGAUCAUUUUGUUAA